rnacentral:rRNA from 1 species
GAGUUUGAUCGUGGCUCAGGAUGAACGCUAGCUACAGGCUUAACACAUGCAAGUCGAGGGGCAGCAUGGUCUUAGCUUGCUAAGGCCGAUGGCGACCGGCGCACGGGUGAGUAACACGUAUCCAACCUGCCGUCUACUCUUGGACAGCCUUCUGAAAGGAAGAUUAAUACAAGAUGGCAUCAUGAGUCCGCAUGUUCACAUGAUUAAAGGUAUUCCGGUAGACGAUGGGGAUGCGUUCCAUUAGAUAGUAGGCGGGUAACGCCCACCUAGUCUUCGAUGGAUAGGGGUUCUGAGAGGAAGGUCCCCCACAUUGGAACUGAGACACGGUCCAAACUCCUACGGGAGCAGCAGUGAGGAAUAUUGGUCAAUGGGCGAGAGCCUGAACCAGCCAAGUAGCGUGAAGGAUGACUGCCCUA